UCCCUGGUGGCUCAGAUGGUAAAGCAUCUGCCUACAAUGCUGGGAGACCCGGGUUCAAUCCCUGGGUCGGGAA
rnacentral:tRNA from 1 species